CAGCCGCCACGGGAAUACGGAGGGUGCAAGCGUUGCUCGGAAUUAUUGGGCGUAAAGGGUAGGUAGGUGGUCUUAUUUGUCUGGGGUGAAAGCCUUGAGCUUAACUCAAGAAGUGCCCCAGAAACGGUGAGACUAGAGUCUUGGAGAGGGUCGUGGAAUUCCCGGUGUAGCGGUGAAAUGCGUAGAGAUCGGGAGGAACACCAGAGGCGAAGGCGGCGACCUGGAUAAGUUCUGACACUCAACUACGAAAGCGUGGGGAGCAAACAGGAUUAGAUACCCCUGUAGUCCCUGUCUCUUAUAC
rnacentral:rRNA from 1 species